rnacentral:antisense_RNA from 1 species
AAUGUGUGCCCAUGGGUGUGUGCAGGUGCACUCAGGACACUGUGUUGUGGUCUGCUGCCUGGAGGCAGACCAGGGCUUAUGCGUGGCUUUUGGCUAGAGUUACUCACAGGUGACCCACGGAGUCAGUGCAGAGGCUACGAGAAUUUGCAUUUGCAUCAAAACAAUGCAGAAUCAAGACUGAAAGAAGUUAAGUAACUUCACUCUAGAUCAUCUGGUAGUGGGUAUAAAGGAGAUCUAGCCCUGGGAAGUUAGGCUCUAAAACCUGUGCCGUUCCCAUGAAAGCACAUUUUCUUCAUAAAAGGCAGGAAUGCUCCCAGGCAAGGAAUAGACACCUAUUUUUCAGAAUUCUGAUCUCUUUGGGGAUUGCCAAAAUGACCUCAAGUAGUGAAGAUAUAGUGGAAUAAUCUGUAUUUCUGCUGACCUUGAUUACAUUUGGAUCUCAUUUGAGGUACUAAGAAGAAUAAGCAAUUGGUUUGAAAAAAGCCCUUUUAAGAGCAAAAUGAAUUCUGCUAAAGUUGAAGCAGGAACAAAUAUCAAAUUUAUGGUGAAGCUCAGGUGGAAGAAUGAUGAAA